UGAUUGUAGGUGCUUGCAUUUGAAAGAUUUAACAUUGAGACGAGUGGCGAACUGGUGAGUAACACGUGGGUAACCUGCCCUUGAAGUAGGGGAUAACACUUGGAAACAGGUGCUAAUACCGUAUAACAACCAAAACCACCUGGUUUUGGUUUAAAAGACGGCUUCGGCUGUCACUUUAGGAUGGACCCGCGGCGUAUUAGCUUGUUGGUAAGGUAACGGCCUACCAAGGCGAUGAUACGUAGCCGACCUGAGAGGGUAAUCGGCCACAUUGGGACUGAGACACGGCCCAAACUCCUACGGGAGGCAGCAGUAGGGAAUCUUCCACAAUGGACGAAAGUCUGGUGGAGCAACGCCGCGUGAGUGAUGAAGGGUUUCGGCUCGUAAAACUCUGUUGUUGGAGAAGAACAGGUGUCGGAGUAACUGUUGACAUCUUGACGGUAUCCAACCAGAAAGCCACGGCUAACUACGUGCCAGCGGCCGCGGUAAUACGUAGGUGGCAAGCGUUGUCCGGAUUUAUUGGGCGUAAAGCGAGCGCAGGCGGUUUUUUAGGUCUGAUGUGAAAGCCUUCGGCUUAACCGGAGAAGUGCAUCGGAAACCGGGAGACUUGAGUGCAGAAGAGGACAGUGGAACUCCAUGUGUAGCGGUGAAAUGCGUAGAUAUAUGGAAGAACACCAGUGGCGAAGGCGGCUGUCUGGUCUGUAACUGACGCUGAGGCUCGAAAGCAUGGGUAGCGAACAGGAUUAGAUACCCUGGUAGUCCAUGCCGUAAACGAUGAGUGCUAAG
rnacentral:rRNA from 1 species